AUGGAGGCACCUUGCGACUAUCAGCUGGCCGUGGCUGAUUACUGGGACGGGAAGCCGGCCAUGGAACCAACCGUCUGGGUUCCUGGCCUCUCUUUGCAGAUGACAGUUGCUGCUCCGGCAAGCAACAGUGAUCUCGUCGUCACCUCCAGCGGACGGCAGCAGCUGAAGCAGGUUGAUGAAUACGACCACUAUGCGGUUCAAGUGUUCGAGCGAGCAGCAGAAUCACUCAAGUCGAGAGUGGAGGAGAUGGACACGAAGAUGCACCUGUUCCCGCCAAGCAUGGGAGACCUCGCCGACGAGUACGCCGCCCCCAAGGUGGUGUCCAUCGGCCCCUACCACCACGGCCGGACCCCGGCGCUCCAGGAGAUGGAGAGCGUCAAGCACGCGGCGGCCUGCCACUUCGUCAAGGCCACGGGCCGCCCCAUCCAGGAGGUGUACUGGGCGGUCUGCACCGUCGCAGAGGAGGCCCGCGCCCACUACGACGCCGGCAAGCUGCGGGGCCUCGGCGACGACGACUUCAAGCCGAUGAUGUUCCUCGACGGCUGCUUCCUGCUGCAGUACAUGCAGUUUUGGUGCCGAGAGAGCGGCGGCGACGAGGACCCGGACAUGGAUCCGUCGCUUUACAACGCUUUCAGCUCCAUCGACCGCCCCAUCCUGAGUGACGUGGUGCUGCUCGAGAACCAGCUGCCAUGGGUGGUGAUUGACGCGCUCUUGAGCUUCUUGCCCCAGCCUGGCCUGGACAUGGAGACGCUCAUCGGGCGCGUGAAGCAGACUCUGCAGACCCGCCAGGUUCGUUAUUUCGAUGCUCCCACGUUGGACUACACACCGCCGCAUCUCCUUGGCCUCCUACGCCACCACAUCGUAGGAAGCAACGACACCAAGAAGUCCGAGCCGGAACUGUCUGAAAGAGCCAAGGAAUUGUCCGUUUCCGUGAGCGCCAUGGAGCUUGCAGAGAUCGGCAUCGAGAUCACAGCCACCAAAGCUACACGAGAGGGCGCAGAGCUAAGGAAUAUGGGCGUCCGUAGAUCGGCGUACCUCACCGGCGAGCUCUUCUUGGCGCCACUGUCCCUCAACGACGCGAACGCGACCUUCCUGGUCAACAUGGCGGCUCUGGAGCAAUGCACGACCCCAGACUUUUUUGGGGAGGACGAGGAGAAGUCCGCCGUGUGCUCCUACCUCUGCCUCCUGGGCAUGGUGACGGACAGCGAGGAAGACGUGCAGCAGCUUCGGAAGAAGGGCAUCUUGCAGGGAGGAGCAGGGCUGAGCAACAAGGACGCGCUCGACUUGCUUAACAAGCUCGAGAACCGGCUGCGGCCCGGAACCCACUAUCUGAGCACCAUGAUCCUCAUCCAGAACUACAAGACUGAUAGGUGGAAGCGGAUCCAGUUUCACAAGUUUCAUUACAACCACCGCAAAGCCAUCUUCUUGACGUUUUCCGGCAUUGCUGGAUUUGCCAGUUUCCUCGGGACGCUCAAGUCUCUCAAUCUCAAGUAA
rnacentral:rRNA from 1 species